UGGGGAAUAUUGGACAAUGGGGGCAACCCUGAUCCAGCAAUUCUGUGUGCACGAAGAAGGUUUUCGGAUUGUAAAGUGCUUUCAGCAGGGAAGAAGAAAGUGACGGUACCUGCAGAAGAAGCGACGGCUAAAUACGUGCCAGCAGCCGCGGUAAUACGUAUGUCGCAAGCGUUAUCCGGAAUUAUUGGGCAUAAAGGGCAUCUAGGCGGCCCUGUAAGUCUAGGGUGAAAACCUGCGGCUCAACCGCAGGCCUGCCCCGGAAACUACAGGGCUAGAGUAUCGGAGAGGUGGACGGAAUUGCACGAGUAGAGGUGAAAUUCGUAGAUAUGUGCAGGAAUGCCGAUGAUGAAGAUAGUUCACUGGACGGUAACUGACGCUGAAGUGCGAAAGCUAGGGGAGCAAACAGG
rnacentral:rRNA from 1 species